CUCAUAGCGUAUAUUAAAUUGCUGCAGUUAAAAAGCUCGUAGUUGGAUCUGGACAAUGACCUGAAUGCAUUUCUUGACUAGGUUGCUUUGGUGAUCUGGUUAGGAUUUGUUACUAGGGUCAUGUCUCGCAGCUGUGUCUAUUCACUGGUUCACGCUAGUGUGUAGAUGCUACUGAGUGAUGCUAUUUCUCCUGCAAGGGAGGGAUGCUAACUUAGUAGCAUGUUGAGCAAUGCUCUUCACUGAGUGUUCUCAACGGACAGCACGUUUACUUUGAACAAAUUCGAGUGCUCAAAGCAGACACUAUGUGUCUGAAAUGUCUUGCAUGGAAUAAUGAAAUAGGACUUUGGUUCUAUUUUGUUGGUUUGAUAGACCUGAAGUAAUGAUAAAUAGAGACUGACGGGGGCAUUUGUAUGGCAGCGCGAGAGGUGAAAUUCAUGGACCGUUGCCAGACAACCUAAAGCGAAAGCAUCUGCCAAGUAUGUUUUCAUUUACCAGGAGCGAAAGUCAGAGGUUCGAAGACGAUCAGAUACCGUCCUAGUUCUGACCAUAAACGAUGCCAUCUGAUAAUCCGUGGUCUCUCCAUUCACGUGGGAUCACGGGCAGUCCCCGGGAAACCUGUAAGUUUAUGGGUUCCGGGGAAAGUAUGGUUGCAAAGCUGAAACUUAAAGGAAUUGACGGAAGGGCACCACCAGGAGUGGAGCUUGCGGCUUAAUUUGACUCAACACGGGAAAACUCACCCGGGCCGGACACUAUGUGGAUUGACAGAUUGAUAGCUCUUUCAUGAUUCGGUGGUUAGUGGUGCAUGGCCGUUCUUAGUUCGUGGUAUGAGUUGUCUGGUUAAUUCCGUUAACGAACGAGACUCCACCCUGCUAAUUAGUGCGCAGAUCAACUUAUUUGGUGUCUUUUUGUGUCCAGAGUAGGGCAUGUAGAAUCAUUUAAGUCUGUGAUGCUACUUAGAGGCACAGGUGGAUAAGCUAAAACCACAUGAAAAGGAGCAAUAACAGGUCUGUGAUGCCCUUAGAUGUCCGGGGCCGCACGCGUGCUACAAUGAUAGUGGUAGAGAGUCUGCUCUUCUAGCUCGAAAGGGCUGGGUAAACUUUUCAAUUACUAUCAUGACUGGGAUCGGGAUUUGUAAUUAUCUCCCGUGAACCAGGAAUUCCUAGUAAGCACAUGUCAUAAGCUUGUGCUGAAUACGUCCCUGCCCUUUGUACACACCGCCCGUCGCUACUACCGAUUGAAUGGUUUAGCAAGGCCAAUGGAUCGGAGCUUGGUUUGCGUAAGCAACCUUGCUUGAGAAGCUGGCCGAACUGAUCA
rnacentral:rRNA from 1 species